AUAGGGGACUGUUACAAACUUUUUGGUAUAUUCUUGCUUUUGUAAUUUUUUAUAUUUGAAUUUGUUGACAAACAAGAAAAUUGACAAGUACAAGGAGUGUCAGUGAGAGUAUAGAUUUUUUAUUUCAAUCCAUUUUCCAUGUCCAUUUGCUUUAACAGUUUUCAGGGUCAUUGGAAUGACUGAUGAUGAUGUGGAUUCAGAUAUGCAGAUGAGCUUAUGCACAAAAACUAGGAAGUAGUAACAUCACUCAUGAUGAAGAUGAGGCUACACUGCACAAUACAACCCACAGACAGGUAGACUAUAGAUAUACUACGUCCAAGGCCGAGAUAACGAAAACUCCAAAUUAAAUAUGUAAGUAGUCUUCCCAAAUAAAUAUUUAAAAGACAAGA